rnacentral:rRNA from 1 species
AUACGUAUGGAGCGAGCGUUAUCCGGAUUUAUUGGGCGUAAAGCGCGCGUAGGCGGCUUGCCAAGCGGGAUCUCAAACCUGAGGGCUCAACCCCCAGCCGGAUCCCGAACUGGCAGGCUCGAGUUCGGUAGAGGAAGAUGGAAUUCCCAGUGUAGCGGUGAAAUGCGCAGAUAUUGGGAAGAACACCGAUGGCGAAGGCAGUCUUCUGGGCCGUAACUGACGCUGAGGUGCGAAAGCUAGGGGAGCGAACAGGAUUAGAUACCCUGGUAGUCCUAGCCGUAAACGAUGGGCACUAGGUGUGGGGGAGCAUUUCCUCCGUGCCGCAGCUAACGCAUUAAGUGCCCCGCCUGGGGAGUACGGCCGCAAGGCUAAAACUCAAAGGAAUUGACGGGG